UUGUGAGAUUGAGCAAUUUCUCUACCGGGAUCUCAUAGGGGACUAGUAUCGAUGGCCGGGAGGCAGGGACCAAUUGUUCUUGGAUUACCUCAACUUGAUUAAUUCGGUUUAAAGAUAUAUGGUAAAUCAUGUGCUUUAUGUUAGAUCCUAGGGGAGCAUUGCCCGGGUACCUCAUCUUUAUUAAUUGAGACUUUCCUUAUUUUCUACUUUUCCUUUGCUUGCUUGCUUGCGAUAUUCAUAUUCUUGCAAUUGAGUCCAUUUCACCAUACUCUUGAUUCCAACUAGAUAACUGAGAAAUAGUUACUACUAAUACUUCAGUUCCCUAUGGAUUUGACUACCCGACUCAUUGGAUACUUUAUUACCUCAACAUCCAUGCACUUACGGUACACGCAUGCAAAUUGGUGUGUCAAUACUAUAGUUGUAAAACUCUCUUCUUCUUGAUGUGGAACAUCAAUGAGGACAUGGGUACCACAUCAGUCCAUGUGGUAUUAUUUUGCUAACAUAUAAUGAUCACAACAUGUAUCUGUACAUGUGCUGAUGGAUGAUAUGCUUAAUGUGAGACUGUAAGAACAAUUCUAUUAGAAGCUUCUCAUUUUUUCAGUAAUUUGCAAAUUGCAUUGUGAAAGGCUAUGAAUGUAUCACUAAUAUAAUUGACUCUAGGCAUUAAUAUUUAUUUUUUUGAAAUAUCAAUAUUUUUUUUUUAGUUGGUGAUCUGUGCAGUUUAUUGAAGUGAUCUAUUGACAGUAAAGCAUGGUUUUCAAAAACAAAAAAGUACCACUGCAGCUGAGGGUAUGGGAAUCUCAGUAUUCUUAGAUGAUGCAUGGUUCUUGAAGGACAUAUUUUUGUAUCGCCUAUGCAAGACCAGAAAACUUAAAGGAUGACUAGAACACAUAUUUGGCUGAGAUUUUGAGAAGAGCGGUCUUGAUGUUAUGUGUGAAGAUGGGGAUGAGUAUGCGCCAGUGGUUUUACCUCCAGAUGAUGCUAUGCAUGUUAAAGACCAAGCUAAUUAAUUAGCACUUAGGAACAAAUAAUUAGAAAAUCUUUUUUUAAAUGUGGCAUGGCAAUUGACAGAUAUUCCUGAUCUUUUGCAGAGAUAUAGAAGAAAAAUUAUUGAAAUGUGGUGAUAGCAAUGCCCAC